rnacentral:lncRNA from 1 species
CAGGUCUCAUGGAGGGCACUGCUAAGCCUGACUAUGCUACCUGCGUCAAGAUCUCCACUGAUGCAUCCAUCAAGGAGAUGAUUCCACCUGGUGCCCUUGUCAUUCUUACACCUCUUAUUGUUGGAACAUUCUUUGGCGUGGAGACCCUAUCCGGUGUUCUGGCUGGUUCCCUUGUUUCUGGUGUGCAGGUAAUGUUGUGACCAUAGGCAACUACACAUAUCUGUGACUGCUGGUUUAUUUAUAUGCAAUAAUCAAUUUGAAAUUUGGGAAUGAAGUAUAUACUUGUGGAUAUUCGAUAUUGAUCGCCAAUUAUUGAUUUGAAUAUAUCAGAUAGCGAUAUCUGCUUCUAACACUGGUGGUGCAUGGGACAAUGCUAAGAAGUACAUUGAGGUAAACAUUUUGACUCUAUUGUUAGGUCAGAUUCUUUAAUCAACUAGCUCUUAGUUGUAUUUCUCCUACGAAUGUUGGAAGAUGUCCCGAGUUUGAAUUCUCCUCCCUGUUGAUCCAUCGGGUUAAGUUAUCUGUUUACUAAAAUUUGAAACGAAUCAUGGAUUAAUAUGGGGGUUUUGGUUUUCAGGCCGGUGCUUCAGAGCAUGCAAGGACCCUUGGCCCGAAGGGUUCAGACCCACACAAGGCAGCAGUGAUUGGUGACACCAUUGGAGACCCGCUCAAGGACACCUCAGGGCCAUCACUCAACAUCCUUAUUAAGCUCAUGGCAGUGGAGUCCCUCGUGUUUGCUCCCUUCUUCGCCACUCAUGGCGGCCUACUUUUCAAGAUCUUUUGAGGGAAGGAGUGUAUGAUGGCCAUUGUAUCAGGGGGA